rnacentral:misc_RNA from 1 species
GAUGAAGAACGCAGCGAAAUGCGAUAAGUAAUGCGAAUUGCAGAAUUCAGUGAAUCAUCGAAUCUUUGAACGCACAUUGCGCCCCUUGGUAUUCCAUGGGGCAUGCCUGUUCGAGCGUCAUUUGUACCUUCAAGCUUUGCUUGGUGUUGGGUGUUUGUCUCGCCUCCGCGUGUAGACUCGCCUCAAAACAAUUGGCAGCCGGCGUAUUGAUUUCGGAGCGCAGUACAUCUCGCGCUUUGCACUCACAACGACGACGUCCAAAAGUACAUUUUUACACUCUUGACCUCGGAUCAGGUAGGGAUACCCGCUGAACUUAAGCAUAUCAAUAAGCGGAGGA